UCGCGAACAAAAGGCAGGAAAGGAGAAACCCUUCUCCUUCAAUUGAGUUCAAGAAAUUCAGCCAAUUGAAGCCCUAAUCGUAGUUGUACUCAUGCAUGUCAAUGAUUUCUUGGUCAUCUAGCCCUAACAAAUACAUGAAUAGGAACCACACUAGCAUGGACCAAGCAUGGAAGGCUAACGGGACAAGACGAGGCAAGGAAGCGGGUAUGAACACGAAUGCACAAGGAACGAGUACAUCGGAUUCUUACGAAAUUUAAGCCCAACCCGGAAUUAGAGGAUGAGUAAGGAUAGUUGGAUG